GUGGCUGUGGCUCAGCAGUAGAGCACUCGCCUAGCUCGUGCGAGGCGCUGGGUUCGAUCCUCAGCACCACA
rnacentral:tRNA from 1 species